UUUUAUGAUUAAAGCUCCGGCGGUUAAAGAUGGGCAUGCGUGCCAUUAGCUUGUUGGUGAGGUAACGGCUCACCAAGGCUACGAUGGUUAGGGGGUCUGAGAGGAUGAUCCCCCACACUGGUACUGAGACACGGACCAGACUCCUACGGGAGGCAGCAGUGAGGAAUAUUGGGCAAUGGGCGCAAGCCUGACCCAGCCAUGCCGCGUGAAGGAUGAAUGCCCUAUGGGUUGUAAACUUCUUUUGUACGGGACGAAACUCCUGGUCGUGACCGGGAUUGACUGUACCGUGCGAAUAAGCAUCGGCUAACUCCGUGCCAGCAGCCGCGGUAAUACGGAGGAUGCAAGCGUUAUCCGGAUUCAUUGGGUUUAAAGGGUGCGUAGACGGAAUAAUAAGUCAGUGGUGAAAGCCUGCGGCUUAACCGUAGAAAUGCCAUUGAUACUGUUAUUCUUGAGUAUAGUUGAGGUGGGCGGAAUGUGUAAUGUAGCGGUGAAAUGCUUAGAUAUUACACAGAACACCAAUUGCGAAGGCAGCUCACUAAGCUGUUACUGACGCUGAGGCACGAAAGCGUGGGGAGCAAACAGGAUUAGAUACCCUGGUAGUCCACGCCGUAAACGAUGAUCACUCGUUGUUGGCGAUACACCGUCAGCGACUGAGCGAAAGCAAUAAGUGAUCCACCUGGGGAGUACGGCGGCAACGCUGAAACUCAAAGGAAUUGACGG
rnacentral:rRNA from 1 species